rnacentral:rRNA from 1 species
CUAUGUGAUCGUCUCUCGCAUAUCAAUAAGCGGAGGAAAAGAAACUAACAAGGAUUCCCCUAGUAACGGCGAGUGAAGCGGGAAGAGCUCAAAUUUGAAAUCUUAAAGGGUUUCCCUUUACGAAUUGUAGUUUAAAGAAGUGUUUUCUGUUGAGGUUUUGGUAAAAGUUCUUUGGAAUAGGACAUCAUAGAGGGUGAGAAUCCCGUAUUUGACCUUUACUUUCAACUUUGUGAUACACUUUCAAGGAGUCGGAUUGUUUGGGAAUGCAGUCCAAUAUGGGUGGUAAAUUUCAUCUAAAGCUAAAUAUUGGCGAGAGACCGAUAGCGAACAAGUACCGUGAGGGAAAGAUGAAAAGAACUUUGAAAAGAGAGUUAAACAGUACGUGAAAUUGUCAAAAGGGAAGCGUUUGACACCAGUGUUGUUUCUUCUGAAAAUCAAUUAAAGAACUGUUUAUGCUAAGUUGUUUAGACUUUAUCAGCUAACUGUUUAGUUUUGAGCUUUUCUUUAAUGCACUUUUCAGUUAACAAGUCAACAUCAAUUUCUUUUGCUGUAAAAAAGCUUGAGGAAGGUGGCUUGAGAUUCGUCUUAAGUGUUUAUAGCCUCUUGCCUACGCAGUCGGAGAGAUUGAGGUCUGCAGCGUAGAUCCUUCGGGGCUAAAUGCAUUUGUGCUAAGUUAUAGCAUUUUAUAGACAACUUGUUGACUAUGAUUUGUCUUGUAGCUUACUCGCUUAUGUUAUUUUACCUACGCUUAGGAUGUUGAUAUGCAUGACUGAUAU